UAUACGUCACUUGCGAAUUUCGCAUAUAUUUCUUUCUUGGACUGCAAACUUCAAUAUAAAGUUGAAUUUGCUCGAAAACACAUAACUUAUACAAGGAGAUGUAAUAUUUAACAACCCAUCUAAUAAUUGUCGUCCACAUUUUUCGAGUUCUGUCAAUAAUUCAUUGUCCUGUGAAUGAAACUGAAUGGAAAUCCAGAUCUGAAACGAAAGUUUGUCAGGGCAAAGAUGUCUACCACUGUUUACUUGUCGAGGAUGAAAAAUCAAGAAAAGAGAAAUGUCUAGAGAGAACAUUAGUAUUAGGCGGUCAUUGUCCAAUCAUAACUCAUGAUGAUUAUUUGCACUGGAAGACAUGUAAUGAAACUGGCUGCCCGAGUACCCCUUUCCGUAGUGACGAGGUUUAUAAAUGUAAGAAAAGAAUGAAUGU